rnacentral:rRNA from 1 species
UACGGAGGGUGCAAACGUUGCUCGGAAUCAUUGGGCGUAAAGCGCACGUAGGCGGCCCGCUAAGUCGGAUGUGAAAUCCCUCGGCUCAACCGAGGACGUGCAUUCGAUACUGGCAGGCUUGAAUAUGGAAGAGGGUCGCGGAAUUCCCGGUGUAGAGGUGAAAUUCGUAGAUAUCGGGAGGAACACCGGUGGCGAAGGCGGCGACCUGGGUAGAUACUGACGCUGAGGUGCGAAAGCGUGGGGAGCAAACAGG